CGCUCUGACAUUUUCUUCUCUCUCUCCCGGGGGGCUCGCUUUCUCCACACGACUACUACUCUUCGCCAUUUUCCAUGGAAGCAGAGCAGAGCAGGCGGCGAUCCAGUCGCUCCUCCCUUCCGCGUCGGAGGCGGGAGGUGGGUUCCGGCGGCCCGAAGAGAUUGCUGAAGCGGCCCUCUGCUCGCCGGCGGCGAGGAGCCGCAUGGACCUGACCGUCUUGUCUCCGCGCGGUCGCUCGUCGACGGUUGGCUUGGCCCAAGGAUGUGUUCCUGGUCAUCAUCUUCUUUGUUUUCUUUCUUCGUGAAGAUGGGUUACGGAGGAAAUGGGUCGCUGAAGAGCAUGAGAAGAUCGGAGCUUGAUGAGCUGAAUGGAAGGGUCCGAGUUUCGGGUCUGAAAAUGGUGUCCGGUGGGUGGAGCGAAUGGGCAAGUGGGUCUCCCCUGCUCCAAGCCUCCCGAGGUGUCCUCCGAUGCUCACGUCUGCUGUGACGAAUGGGCUCUCCCUCCAUGUUCGUUGACCAACUUGCCAAAUCGAGAAUUCCUGAAAUUGUCUGGAAUGGACAGAAAAAGCUCUGGACUUUCCGUCCUAUGGGCACUGACGUAGCUUCUCCAUUUCGGUCCCUAUCUCUCGUUUUUUUUUUUUUUUUGGGCUCCGCCAUCGGAUCGAGGUCAGUUCUUUGGGACUUUUGCUGGUGAUUCUCAAGUGAGAUGAGUAUGCUGUUCGCAGUUACGGAGCAGUCGAAACGGAGGAGUGAUUCUCAUCUCUUGUUCGUGAUUUCCUUUGGUCUGUCGUUUGAUUCGGCAACGCCCGUGCUAAUUCGAGCGCGUCUAUCUGGUUAUAGAUGGGUUUGAGGCACCAUAUGAGUCGAUGAACUAAGCUCCAGUUCUUAGUCUUUGUUGUAGCUGAACUCGUCUUUUUUUUUUUUCUGUUCGACAUCGUACUUUAUCAGGGUGCUUCUGCUGAUUGCGUCUCUCGUCCCACACUCUUCCUCUGUCUUCUCUUGCUUUGGAUCAGUUUUGAGCUUGCCCGAGAAUUGUUGGCCUUGUUUGAGAGCUUCGAGGACUGUCAAAAAAGAGGCUUGAUUCUGAGUAGCCGUAUCAUGCUCCUUGGUCGAUCUCUGUCCUUAUGCUUCAUGAGGAAGCAAAUGUUGGAACACAGACCGCAAAUUGCAAUUCUCAAGUUGAAAUAUUUAUCCAGGAAUUAUAAUAUCUACUUGUUUCCGUAAUCUAAUCCCGUUUCCAUAUUUUGGGGCCACUUUGCUUAGAUAAUGAAUAACAAUUCUUCUUUUAGCCGUUACUCCAAGUUUGUUCUGCAUUUGCGUCCUCUGUGAUGUUCUUUCCCAUGUUAUGGAGGGGGAGCUAACACGGUGUUUCGGCCACCGCAAUUAGAUCAAAAUCCCAACCUCAUUCAGUAGGAUAAGGCUUGGUCACUAAUGUUGUUAUGGUCAGGUUGAACUGCUGGGAGGCUGUCUUGGUGGAGAUGGGCAAAACUGAUGCAUCCGUGAUAGAGCAGAGCCUUUUGGCCUACUCAAUUGAAAUGUAAGUAUGUAGAUAUGUCAGUUCUUGUCGGACGUAUUGAUAAAAUCACUCCAAGCUGUUUUUCAUUCAUUCAACGAUAGUUACAAUACUAGGCUAAAGUUAGAACAAGACCAGUUCAUCCUUGAAAUUUAGUGAUGGAUGAAAAGAUUACUGUCCUCUUCCAUUCUUGACUGUCAUAUUCAAAUUCUUAAUGUUGCCAACUAGCAGCAUGCCCUUGGGACCUUCAUCACUUCAACAUGAAUUCCAUUCUAGGCUCCCAUCAUUAUCCUAUAUUUUGUCUCUUUGCCAGGUCUGAUAAUAUCUAAAACCAAUGUAUGUGUUUCUCUGUUUGCUGUAGGGUCCAUCUUUUUGUGCACCAUAGGAAGACUCACUAGAAUAGUUCCAGCAAUUUCCAGGCUAGACAUUGCUCCAUGUGACACUUAUUUUGCGGUUGCACAUUGCCAUUAUGUAAUUGUUAUGGGAGCCGUUUUUGCUUUAUUUGCAGUAUUUCGCUAUUGGGUGGGUAAAAUCUCUGGUCGGCCAUACCCUGAAACUUUAGGCCAAUUCCAUUUUUGGAUCAUUUUUUUCAGUGGUGACCAUCCUCUAGAUGUAGCACUUAUGUAUCUCCUCAUUCUUAGUUCUGAAUUGGGGGAUGCAUCAACAUGAGCAAUGACUUAUAAAAUUGUGCUUUAAAUCCCCUAUAUUUGCCUUUUGUGGAUAAACUUGUUUCUUGCAAUUAUUAUUCUCUAAUUGUCUGAUGAUGUGCUGAUGGUUGCCUUAUGCACCCUCACAUGGAGUCUGCUGUUUGUUCCUGGAGACAAGAGGAAGUUUCUUCUCCUUAUUUAAAAAGGGCAGCACAUUGGUGAAGCUCCCACUAUGCACGGUGUCUGGGAAUGGUCAGACCACUUUGGGUCUAACAUGCAUAGCCUUACCUUGCAAUUUUUGCAAGAGGCUGUUUCUGUGACUUGAACCCAUGACCUCCAGUCACACGGUGACAACUUUAUUGUUUGCACCAAGGCUCUGCAUCAUUUCUCAUAAAUCAAUUUUUUCUUCUGUAUUCAAAUGUAUCAAAAAAAUAGGUAGAAUAGCAGCAUAAUCUAUCAGAAACAUCCAUUCAUAGAUCCCGACAAGCUUGAAAUAAGUAGGAAAUCAAUGAAAAAGUUGCUUCCUUUAUUUCGCAAAUAUAAUCAUACAUAGCAGUGAUAUCCAUUCAGAGCAAUCAGAAAUAACGGGACAUCAUAGAAUUACACCAUGCCUCAAGGUACAUCCACUAAUAUCUUUCAGAGUCAAAUACUAUAUCUCACUCACGGAAGCUUGACUGUAGUUUCUGCUCUGCUAACUGAUGGUAAUGAAUGUCUCUCUAGCACCCUUAGCCACAAAAUUGUGCUACUGUAGUUGCGAUCUGAUUUCAAAAGUAAAUAGUAAGAGAUCAUAUUUAUGGAAUGCUGUGACUAUGAAGAUUAAAGUUGCACUUUUGGAAUUCUAGGUUACCCCAAUUUUGUCACUUUUGCUGUAUAUUCAGGCCUCGGUUGGCUUAACUGGAGAUUCAUGGGUGAAUGUGAGCCAUACACAUCACAUGUAUUGUAUGAUAUGGGGCAACUGUUUGCUUUAGUCACAUCACUUGCCCCGUAAACCUGACACCAAAGCAUCAUUUUAUUUAGCCAAAAUAUAGUUUAAAUAAUGCAUAGUCCAACUUAUUUUACACUGACUCCUACUGUGCUUCAACUCAGAGAUUGAGAUAUCCAGACAGAUGGCUUGAUCUGGCUAAGUUGGUUGUGACUCCCAUAGGUUUUAUUUGGCUGUAACUCUCAUAGGGUAUGGAUGAAAUUAGGUGUUCAUAACAAUUUUUUUUUAUGGAAAAGAUUGUAGUGUCUUAUGUUAGAAUUUCCCUUCAUGGAAUUAUUUUAUAAGGUAGAAAAGUUCUUUGCUGUCUAAUUAGUACCUUGUAUUGUAGUUCUGUGUUUUCAUGGCCAGUGAGAUCCACCUUCUUGUACAGCUCUCUAUUUUCCUGAUGCAUGAGAGCUCCCUGAAAUAAAUUGAAUUAGUGCUACUUGAUGUGAAAUCGGUGGAAAAGAGUUUUUGGGUA